GUUUUUGUAUACUGUCUAUGUUGCUGUUGUUAUUUAACUAAGCUGCAUGAGUCGGUCUAAGUUGAUGAAGAUGAUGAUGUUCCAAAUUAUUGGAUUAUAUAAGAGGUUGUCGAAUUAAGAUGUUUAAGAGGUCGAGUCCAUGCAUUAACAUUUCAUUGUUGGGGGCUUGAUGCCCUGGAGCUUUGUACUCAACACGUUGGAGCUUUAGCUCAUU
rnacentral:lncRNA from 1 species